GACGCUGGCGGCGUGCUUAACACAUGCAAGUCGAACGCGAAAGGGACUUCGGUCCUGAGUAAAGUGGCGCACGGGUGAGUAACGCGUAGAUAACCUGUCUUCAUGUCUGGAAUAAUACGCCGAAAGGGGUACUAAUACCGGAUAUUCUUGCUUUUCAUAAGUUAUGCAAGCAAAGGUGGCCUCUGCAUAUGCUACUGCAUGAAGAGGGGUCUGCGUACCAUUAGCUAGUAGGUGGGGUAAUGGCCUACCUAGGCGACGAUGGUUAGCGGGUCUGAGAGGAUGAUCCGCCACACUGGCACUGGAACACGGGCCAGACUCCUACGGGAGGCAGCAGUGAGGAAUAUUGCGCAAUGGGGAAACCCUGACGCAGCGACGCCGCGUGAGUGAAGGAAGGCCUUCGGGUCGUAAAGCUCUGUCAAGAGGAAAGAAGUGUACAAUGGCUAAUACCUGUUGUAUUUGACGGUACCUCUAAAGGAAGCACCGGCUAACUCCGUGCCAGCAGCAGC
rnacentral:rRNA from 1 species